rnacentral:rRNA from 1 species
CCUACGGGUGGCAACAGUGGGGAAUAUUGCACAAUGGGGGAAACCCUGAUGCAGCGACGCCGCGUGAGUGAAGAAGUAUCUCGGUACGUAAAGCUCUAUCAGCAGGGAAGAAAAUGACGGUACCUGACUAAGAAGCCCCGGCUAACUACGUGCCAGCAGCCGCGGUAAUACGUAGGGGGCAAGCGUUAUCCGGAUUGACUGGGUGUAAAGGGAGCGUAGACGGCAGCACAAGUCUGGAGUGAAAUCCCGGGGCUUAACCCCGGAACUGCUUUGGAAACUGUGCGGCUGGAGUGCAGGAGGGGUAAGCGGAAUGCGUGGUGUAGCGGUGAAAUGCGUAGAUAUGAGGAGGAACACCGGUGGCGAAGGCGGCAUACUGGACCGUAACUGACGUUGAGGCUCGAAAGCGUGGGGAGCAAACAGGAUUAGAUACCCUAGUAGUC